GGCUUAGAGUUUGAUCAUGGCUCAGGAUGAACGCUAGCUACAGGCUUAACACAUGCAAGUCGAGGGGCAGCAUGAACUUAGCUUGCUAAGUUUGAUGGCGACCGGCGCACGGGUGAGUAACACGUAUCCAACCUGCCGAUGACUCGGGGAUAGCCUUUCGAAAGAAAGAUUAAUACCCGAUGGCAUAGUUCUUCCGCAUGGUGGAACUAUUAAAGAAUUUCGGUCAUCGAUGGGGAUGCGUUCCGUUAGGUUGUUGGCGGGGUAACGGCCCACCAAGCCUUCGAUGGAUAGGGGUUCUGAGAGGAAGGUCCCCCACAUUGGAACUGAGACACGGUCCAAACUCCUACGGGAGGCAGCAGUGAGGAAUAUUGGUCAAUGGACGAGAGUCUGAACCAGCCAAGUAGCGUGAAGGAUGACUGCCCUAUGGGUUGUAAACUUCUUUUAUACGGGAAUAAAGUGAGGCACGUGUGCCUUUUUGUAUGUACCGUAUGAAUAAGGAUCGGCUAACUCCGUGCCAGCAGCCGCGGUAAUACGGAGGAUCCGAGCGUUAUCCGGAUUUAUUGGGUUUAAAGGGAGCGUAGGCGGACGCUUAAGUCAGUUGUGAAAGUUUGCGGCUCAACCGUAAAAUUGCAGUUGAUACUGGGUGUCUUGAGUACAGUAGAGGCAGGCGGAAUUCGUGGUGUAGCGGUGAAAUGCUUAGAUAUCACGAAGAACUCCGAUUGCGAAGGCAGCUUGCUGGACUGUAACUGACGCUGAUGCUCGAAAGUGUGGGUAUCAAACAGGAUUAGAUACCCUGGUAGUCCACACAGUAAACGAUGAAUACUCGCUGUUUGCGAUAUACAGUAAGCGGCCAAGCGAAAGCGUUAAGUAUUCC
rnacentral:rRNA from 1 species